AGCAGCCGCGGUAAUUCCAGCUCCAAUAGCGUAUAUUAAAGUUGUUGCAGUUAAAAAGCUCGUAGUUGAAUUUCGGGGUUAGUAGGUCGGUCAUGCCUCCGGUAUGCACUGGUCUCACUGAUUUCUCCUUCCUGAUGAGCCGUAAUGCCAUUAAUUUGGUGUUGCGGGGAAUCUGGACUGUUACUUUGAAAAAAUUGAGUGUUUAAAGCAGGCUAACGCUUGAAUACAUUAGCAUGGAAUAAUGGAAUAGGACGUUCGAUCCUAUUUUGUUGGUUUCUAGGAUUGACGUAAUGAUUAAUAGGGAUAGUUGGGGCAUUAGUAUUCAAUUGUCAGAGGCGAAAUUCUUGGAUUUAUUGAAGACUAACUACUGCGAAAGCAUUUGCCAAGGAUGUUUUCAUUAAUCAAGAACGAAAGUUAGGGAUCGAAGACGAUCAGAUACCGUCGUAGUCU
rnacentral:rRNA from 1 species